ACCGCGUAUGAAGUACGCUUUCACCCUCGGGUGACAGGGAGACAGGUGGUGCAUGGUUGUCGUCAGCUCGUGUCGUGAGAUGUUGGGUUAAGUCCCGCAACGAGCGCAACCCCUACGUUUAGUUGCUAACGCGUGAAGGCGAGCACUCUAGACGAACUGCCGUUGACAAAACGGAGGAAGGUGGGGAUGACGUCAAAUCAUCAUGCCCCUUAUGUUCUGGGCUACACACGUGCUGCAAUGGCCGGUACAGACGGACGCAAAGCCGCGAGGUGGAGCAAAUCCUAAAAAGCCGGUCUCAGUUCGGAUUGCAGGCUGCAAUUCGCCUGCAUGAAGUCGGAAUCGCUAGUAAUCGCAGGUCAGCAUACUGCGGUCGAAUACGUUCCCGGGCCUU
rnacentral:rRNA from 1 species